rnacentral:other from 2 species
UGUUUGCUGCCUUGUGCGUCAGGGACUAUAUCCCCAGGGCCGAUGAUCUUCGUAUAGGGAGCUGUUCCUUGGCUAGGCCGUGGUCUGGCUGAUACGGCACCCACCUGUUUUACAGGGCCGCGGAGGAUCUUUUACCCAACGGCUAUGGUGGCAAACAU